UUCUUACUCCCUCCUUCCGAAAAACUUAUCAUCAAAAUGGAUAAAAAUAGAUAUAUCUAGAACUAAUAUACGUCUAGAUACAUCCUCUUUUAUUUAUUUUGAUGACAAGUAUUUCCGGACGAAGGGAGUACUUA
rfam:Triticum aestivum genome assembly, contig: Triticum_aestivum_CS42_TGACv1_scaffold_404848_5BL